GACAUCCAAAGUUAACUUUUUGCCUCAUUCCUUUGAUCAUGUAUCCCAUGCUUAAAAUCAGGGUGAUUCUCUUCCAAGAUUUUUUCAACAAUAAUAGGGAAAAUAUUUAUGUUUGCAUUAACUUCAUCAGAAUCAACGUGAUUUACCUCUGGUCUGUUAGGUGUAUCGGUUGGACCCUGUCGGAGCCAUGGUGAAGCUGUGAGAAAAUUCCUUCCUUUUUGUGGUGCUCUCAUGAACAGCCCGUAGGGCUUUAUGAUUGCUUCUAGAGGUGUAUCGUAGAGUUUAUCGCAAAUAGUUUCGGAGUGGCCCAUAAUGUCACAAAUGAAGCAAAAGGUCGGAACUCGCUCAUAUUUGAAAUUUGCCCAAAAAGCAACACCAUCACAUUUUUUAAACUUCAUUCUUCUUUUCAGUAGAGCAUUUAGGAGAACGGACACCCGAACUCUGAGAGAAUCACGCCACAUAUUUGGUUCCCAUUUAAGGAAAGCACCUAUGUAGUUACUUACUUUUUGAACUACUUGCUCAGUCUUGAAUCUUGCUUGGAGAUCGUGUAUCUAAACCCACAUAUCAAGGGUACGAAGCUCGAUUAGCUUUGGGUUGUCCUCUAUUUUCAGUCGUUUGAUUAUUUAUUGUUUACGAUCAUACGUGGAUGGCCUGCCAUUGAUAACACGUUUAAUGUCUAUUUCGUGGUAGAACUGAAACAAGAAUCUAUUUUGCUUAAGGAUCUUAAUUGUCAUUCCCUUGUCGGGCUUCCAAAGGUCAGAAGCGUUUUCCUUUGUGAUAUCAAGAACCUCUUCGCUAUCCUCUUCUUCCUCCAAACAUAUAUUAUUCUAUCUAUUUUUAAUGUCUGCUAGAAGCCAUGCAUGAACCAGGAAAGGACGAAAUCAGAAUAGAUCAGACAGAAAUAAAAACACUCAGACUCGCUCUAAAACAUAGAGACUAAUCACAUGUCAAAAGGCACGACUUCUCUCAGCUUAUGUUUGUAAACCACUCAGAUUUAGUGUUGUAAAUACUGGCUAAACUUUUUGAUUAGGCACGACCACUGCUUUUUUUUUUUUUUUUUUUUUUUAAAUUGUUCUUAUAAUUCAUGUUUAAGAAAAGAUUUUUUUUUUCCUUCCGCUGUAAAUUUAUAACGUAAGUCUAUUUCUCUAUUCUUUUCUCCACUUUUGAGAUGCGAAAGUCGGGAUGUGGAAAUCUGGGUAGUGGCUCGAUGGCAACGACAUCAUAACUGGGCGUGCUGAUGGAGACGACCUUACGAGCGGAUCUAGACAGCGAUGAUGUUGCAAACGAAUCUGGCAUGUUGACGACUUAUGAACGGGAGUUCUUAGAGCAUUGCAUUUGUGAUAUAUCAGAGAGGCAUCGUCUCCCUCUCCUUUGUCGUCUUAGCCCUCUGUUAUUGGGGAAGCAUUGUGCCUUUGAUGGUUUUAGGGUUGAAGAUUCCAGAAAAGAUGGUUUAAGUUAUGGUGGAUCGAUAUAGUGGCGGCAUUGGAGAAUAUCAUGAUGUCUCAAAUGAUCUUGAUAACAUUUUAGCAUCAAUAAAGAAUCUUGACAUUAGUUCAGAAAAUAUUAGAGCUUUUCUGCCCAAGGUUAAUUGAGAGUAGCCAUGUAGCAGGAGGGUGUGGUGCAGAAUGUGAAGCAAGGUGCCACGAGUGUCUUUGAUCAUAUUGAAGAUAGUAAGACCAUAUUAUAGAUGCUCGCCGGCUAAUAGGUAUAUUGUAAGUACCACUCUUCUUUGUAAGAACUCCACAAGCACGCAAAUAGUAAAUUAAAAAUAAAAUAUGGUCCUCACGUUGAUGUUUCCUCACUAAUAUGAUAUGUCCCUUUUAUUAGUUAUUAACUACUAUUUUUUGUUAUCAGCUUGUUAUCAGUGCAAGCUAUAUACACAGUCAGCAAAAAAUGUUUUCAACUUUUAGUUUGAUUGUUGCGGAUUGCAAAGCUCUACUCUCUACAUUACUUAAUGUUCAGUUACUGUUUAUUAAACAAUCAGCGAAUCGGGUGGCACAUUACGUUGCUAGAAACUCCUGUUUCAAUACUGGUUGUAGCAUUUCUGUUUUUUAUGUUACAGAAGACUUAAAAAAUCUUAUGUAUUUGGAAUGCUAACUAUUUUAAUGAAGUUGAUAUUUUAUUUCAAAAAAAAAGAAAAA